rnacentral:rRNA from 1 species
GCACAUGCCUAUAGCAUAUCAUUAAUGCACCGGAUCCCAUUGUAACUUCUCACUUAAGCAUGUUCGAGCUAGAGUAGUACCGAGAUGGGUGAUUGCAUGGGAAGUUUGUUUUGUUUC